UCUUCAAAUGUAAGUUAUACAGAAAAACUAUUUACUAUGCAAAAAGCAUCUUCACAAGCACAAUUUGUGAUGAAAUCUAUCAACAAAUAUUGGACAAGCAAUAUACUUUUGAAAUGUGGGAAGCUUUAAUACAGUAAUAUGAAACAACGAAAGACCAAUUAUUUCAGAUGUGUACUGAACUUUUUUCUUUCCAAUGAAAUAAUAAAGAAGACGGUUCAACACAUAUUUCAAAAUUGAAGAAUUUGUUAUUUGAAAUAAUUUAGUACUGAAAAAUUGCCAUUGCCGGAUUUAUUAUUAGUGUGCAAAAUUUUGUAUAUUAUACGCUGUUCAUUUAAGAUGUUCAAAUCAAGUUGGAUGAUGAAUACCCGAAAUAAAGAUAAGACAUUUGAUGAAUAAUUAAUGCAGUUAUGUUUAUUUGAAACUGGUUGUGAUAAUGAAAGCUUCUUCAUGGUAAACCAAAGGAAAGGCCUCAAUCGUAGAAAGAAUUUAAAAAACAAAUAAUAAGAAAGAAAAUAUUUUUCACUAUUGAAAAAAGAAAGGUCACUAGUUGAAAGAUUGUUGCAAAUUGAUUUGAAAACCAAUGUAUUGGAAAACCAACAGAAGCGGGUGUUUGGAUUUCGAAAAUGGAUUGGUGGGAACUGAACAUGUAACACAUUCAUCGGAAUUUUUAAUUUAGUAUGAAACUUUUAAUAAAACUGGAAAUGAUACACAUCAGGCUGUAGGAAAAGUCUCUAUAGAGAGAUUACUAUAAAAUUAAAAAAAAAAAUUGGAAUGUUCCGGAAAUUACAAGGAACUAUUUUCGGUUUUCGCAGCUCAUGAUAGAAGUACUUCGAGUUAAUCAUUUCCGAAAAAGUGAUACCUUAAAGUAAACAGUGAAACAUGAAGUAGACGAAUCGCAGUACGAAACAAGUAUUCUUCCGAUAACAAAAAAUGAGUUAAACGUGGCCGUUGAUAAAAGUUCGCUCUUACAACUAUACCAUGAAUAAUGGGGACAUCAGAAUAAACAACAUUUGAUGAAUUGCCAUUAUCGCUUAAGGGUAAUCAGGCCGUUCUUUAUGCUCUGCCUCGGAGAGUUUUACGUUUCACUACCGCAUAGGUUUAGUGUGUGGCGUCGGAUAACGGUACCGCGUUACUGUUUUAUUCUUUAGUUAAAAAAUAGUUUUUUUCCGUAACUCAAGAUUUUGGAGGUGUUUGGCAAAUUUUCUGUUCUACUUAGAUCCACCUUUCAGAAAAAUAGUAUAAUUUCCCAGGUAUUUAUUUUUGUCGCAUAGUAUAUCCUACUCGUAUCCAAUUAUGGGACUAUAAAGAGAUUUCAGGAAAUUGUAUAAGCUUUUUUAAGCAAAAAUAGAGGACAUUUUGAACAAAUAUUAUUAAAAAAAAUUGAAGAAUGAAGAAAUAGCUAUCUGAACCCCUUUGGACAAUUUUUGCUAGAACCAAUAGGUGAAAAGUUACACUUAUUUCAAUAAAACCCUGUAUGACCAAAAGUCCGACUUUGACCCCCUCUAUGUCCGGCAGUUCUUCAGCGAUAGGGCUGAAAAUUUGUAGUGUAAAUAUUGUCCAAAUUGAUUUUUUGAGUUGGGUCAAAUUCUCUAUAUAUGAAUCUGCCAAAUGGAUUUUAUAUUGGAACAAAUCGAGUAUGUCACUUAAGACGAAGUUUAUGCGGCCUAAAGCAAACUCCACGAUGCUGGAACAAUCGAAUAGGAUAUUAUAUAACCUGUUUGUACGUGAGAUAGAAAAAUGGAAAUAAAAUAAUUCUUGCGUCUUGGUGGCUUGAUAGCUUCUAAUAUCAAUAAAUUAAAUUAAGUUAUUAAGAAUUGCAAAAGGAAUUUAAAAUUGUUCACAAAGAUGGAAUGUAUUAAGAUUUAUCAGAAAGCAUAUGCUAAUAAAAUACAUAUUCUAUACCAAUGGAGAAAACAACUUAUAAAAAUGAAUAAUUUUCUUUAUCAAAAAUUUUUGAAUUUCCAUUAUAUUUGACUUAUUAUAAUAUUUUGUAAAUCAAAUAUUUUUCCACUUCAAUAAAAACUCUUCUUACAACAUGUAACAGCCGAUCGACUCUUAUCUCAAGAUAAAUUGGCAAAACCGGUUACAGCAGUGCGCAUUUCUGAAUGCACUGCGCAUAAGAUGGAGCACAGUGAUGCAUUUUGGAACAGGCGCAAUAUUUUUAAAACCGAAAAUAUAUUUAAACACUCAAGGGAUCAGCUUAACUAUUUUUUUUAAUUUCACUAAUAUCUCAAGUAUGACAUCACUCUCAACUAUUUCGCAGAAUCCAACUAGUUAAUUUUACCCAUUAUAUACUGCAGAGAAAUUUAAAUAAAAUUAAACAAAAAGUUUAUUAGUUACUAUCACUCUUAAAAAUAUAUUAAAUGUGUAUACAUGCUUAAAACUACAAACUUAAGUAAAGGUUAGUUAGUGUAGUUUUUACAAUUUUAAAUUGAGUAAACUUAAAAUAACAGUUAAUUUAAAUUAUGUAAGAUAUAUAAAUCAACAGAUUUUGCUACAGAUACUAUGAUUAUUCUCACUCGAAAUAUAAAUAUAUGUAUUUACAAAAAGAAAAAUAUGUAUAUAUAGUUGCUGUUGUAUUAUAAGUUUUUUAAAAUAUUAAAUUCAUGGUUCGAAAUAA